GUGGGGAAUUUUGGACAAUGGGCGAAAGCCUGAUCCAGCCAUGCCGCGUGCAGGAUGAAGGCCUUCGGGUUGUAAACUGCUUUUGUACGGAACGAAAAGACUCCUUCUAAUAAAGGGGGUCCAUGACGGUACCGUAAGAAUAAGCACCGGCUAACUACGUGCCAGCAGCCGCGGUAAUACGUAGGGUGCAAGCGUUAAUCGGAAUUACUGGGCGUAAAGCGUGCGCAGGCGGUUAUAUAAGACAGAUGUGAAAUCCCCGGGCUCAACCUGGGAACUGCAUUUGUGACGGUAUAGCUAGAGUACGGUAGAGGGGGAUGGAAUUCCGCGUGUAGCAGUGAAAUGCGUAGAUAUGCGGAGGAACACCGAUGGCGAAGGCAAUCCCCUGGGCCUGCACUGACGCUCAUGCACGAAAGCGUGGGGAGCAAACAGGAUUAGAAACCCGGGUAGUCC
rnacentral:rRNA from 1 species